AAGAGAUUAUAAAUGUCUAGCAGGGACUGUUAGAAAUAUAUUUGGUGCCCUUGAUGAUUUCUCAAUCAAGACAGGGAACACUGAGGUACAACCACAUAGAGCAUCGGAGCUGCUACGGUAAAGGGGAAGGAGAGAUUCCUACUCUGGUUGAUGACACUGGAUCCUUGCAAGCUGGACAUCUCGGAACAACAGACACAGCUGUUCAACCUCAGAGGAUGAAAAAGCCUCACAGCUUGCGGUGUUGACAGUAUUCUAGAAGACCCUACACCCCUGUGGCUUCUCGAUGACUAAUGUGGAGCCAGCAUCUGUCAGCACAAACUCAGAGUGAUUACCCAGAAAUAGGUAUCCUUCUAAUUAAAAUAUCUGACCAUGUCCCCAUCAGCCACUUGCCUCAUUUGGGACACCACCAACCAUCCUGCACGGCUGCCCAUGUUUCUGUUUCUCCAGCCCAAGCAUGCAGUUUCAGUAGGUCCUUCAGAGGCUGCCUGAAAGCAUCCCGCCUCCAGAGCCCUGUGGGUUGAAGACCGCUGUGCUCUUUUCUUUCGGCUUCACACGCUGGUUAGUCUUCUGUUUGCUUUGUCAGCACGGUACUUUUCAUUUCCUUCGUGGUGUUUUUAGGAGCUCCUGAAUUUCACAGACAAAUCCAGACCCCUGUGUGGAAAGCCUGCGGUGGUGUUCUCCGUCUUCCCACAGGACUCCCUGCAGCCAGGAAUUCUAGGGGAGCACCUGACGCGAGGUAUACGCCCAGAUGGCCUGAAGUAACUGAAGAAUCACAAAAGAAGUGAAAAUGUCCUGCCCCGCCUUAACUGAUGACAUUCCACCACAAAGGAAGUGUCAAUGGCUGGUCCUUGCCUUAACUGAUGACAUUCCACCGCAAAAGAAGUGAAAAUGGCCGGUCCUUGCCUUAACUGAUGACAUUACACCACAAAAGAAGUGAAAAUGGCCGGUCCUUGCCUUAAGUGAUGGCAUUACCUUGUGAAAGUCCUUUUCCUGGCUCAUUCUGGCUCAAAAUCACCCCCACUGAGCACCUUGUGACCCCCACUCCUGCCCGCCAGGGAACAAUCCCCCUUUGACUGUAAUUUUCCUUUACCUACCCAAAUCUUAUAAAAUGGCCCCACCCCUAUCUCCCUUUGCUGACUCUCUUUUUGGACUCAGCCUGCCUGCAUCCAGGUGAUUAAAAGCUUUUAUUGCUCACACA
rnacentral:lncRNA from 10 species